CAAAAAUCAGCAACAGCGGCAUGCUCCAGCAGAAACCACCAGGCCUCCACUGAAUCGGCACAGGUCAGUGGAGCGACCAGGACAAGUUGGUUUUCUCUGUUGUCCCUCUCUCAACAAAAUGAAGAUCAGCGAAGAAGCAAGAUCAACACAGAGUUGCAAACCUAGCUAUAUGUUGGUGUCAAGGAGUUCUGGAGCAGAUUCCAAUGAGCAGGGCCCAGCGAAUGGAAAUGCCUUCUCUAGUUCCCGGAGAACAAGGCCAGUGGAGUAUGCCUUCCAUCAACUCUUUAAAGGGAGAACUCCCAGAAGCCAGCAGUGCCCUCGACAUAACCAGCUCAAAUUCAGGCUGCCAAGGCUGCCCUGAACCCAGAACCUGACACCUGACAGCCCUGGAAUGUCUUUACAGACUCUUGGCAUGGUUCACUCUGAGGCUAUGAGGGGACUGAAAGUUUCCUGCCUUUACCGACACGUCUGCUCCUCAGGUUCAAGGACCUGGUGACGCCCCUUUCCUAUGUCCACUGAGGUAGCAGUGCUUUGGAUGAGGAGGUGGUAUCAUGGUACUCCCGUGGGAUUUCCCGAAGAAGGUAAAGCCACUGUCCAUCAAAAGUAAAAUUCUGAUUCUCC
rnacentral:lncRNA from 1 species